rnacentral:rRNA from 1 species
AAAGGAAUUGACGGGAAUCGACUCCAAAGAGUGAAGCUUGCGGCUUAAUUGGACUCAACACCCGAAAUCUUAGCAGACGCUGCUUAUUAUGAAGGACAGAUUGAUUAUCUUUCCAGAAGAAAGCAAGGGUGGUGCAUGGCCCGGUAAAAUUUGUGGUGUGAAUUGCUCGGUCAAGUCCGAAAACAAAUGCAACCCCAUUCAUUAAUUGCCACUCGGAACAGCAAUGUAUCGAAGCACUUUAAUGAGACUGCCGUAGUAAUAUGGAGGAAGGCGGGGCCACCCGAAGUCAGUAUGCCCCCAAACGUUCUGCGCCGCACGCGAGCUGCAAAGGUUGCCACAAUGGUCAUCGCAAUCCCGAAAGGAGGAGCCAAUACCGAAAGGCAAUCUCAGUUGGGAUUCAGGGUUGCAACUCACCCUGAUGAACGUGGAAUUCUUAGUAAUCGGCAUUCAUCAAAUGCCGGUGAAUACGGCCAUCGAUUUUGUACACACCGCCCGU